UCGUAGUAUAUAAAAUACCUUGGUCUUGUAAACCAAAAAAGGAGAACAUGUGCCCUCCCUAAGACUUCAA
rnacentral:tRNA from 3 species